rnacentral:rRNA from 1 species
AAACGACAUCGAAAGCUUGCUUUUGAUGGGCGUCGACCGGCGCACGGGUGAGUAACGCGUAUCCAACCUGCCCACCACUUGGGGAUAACCUUGCGAAAGUAAGACUAAUACCCAAUGACGUCUCUAGAAGACAUCUGAAAGAGAUUAAAGAUUUAUCGGUGAUGGAUGGGGAUGCGUCUGAUUAGCUUGUUGGCGGGGUAACGGCCCACCAAGGCGACGAUCAGUAGCCGGACUGAGAGGGUGAACGGCCACAUUGGGACUGAGACACGGUCCAAACUCC